UAUGUACUCCCUCCGUCCCAAAAUUAUUGUCUUAAAUUUGUCUAGAUACGGAUGUACCUAAUACUAAAAUGUGACCUCAUACAUCCGUAUUUGGACAAAUCUAAGACAAGAAUUUUGGGACGGAGGGAGUACAUC
rfam:Triticum aestivum genome assembly, contig: Triticum_aestivum_CS42_TGACv1_scaffold_223636_3B